GAUGAAGAACGUAGCGAAAUGCGAUACUUGGUGUGAAUUGCAGAAUCCCGCGAAUCAUCGAGUUUUUGAACGCAAGUUGCGCCCGAAGCCAUUCGGCCGAGGGCACGUCUGCCUGGGUGUCACGCAUCGUUGCCCCCCCAAACUCCGGUUCGGGCGGGGCGGAAGUUGGCCUCCCGUGCGUGCCUGCGCGCGCGGUUAGCCCAAAAGCGAGUCCUCGGCGACGAGCGCCACGACGAUCGGUGGUUUUUUUACCCUCGUUCCUCGUCGUGCGUGUCCCGUCGCCCGAACGCGCUCUUGCGACCCUCACGCGUCGCCUCGGCGGCGCUCCCAACGCGACCCCAGGUCAGGCGGGACUACCCGCUGAGUUUAAGCAUAUCAAUAAGCGGAGGA
rnacentral:misc_RNA from 1 species